UGUGUAGGCGGUUUGAUAAGUUGGAUGUGAAAGCUCCCGGCUCAACUGGGAGAGGUCGUUCAAAACUAUCAGACUAGAGAGUGGUAGAGGGAGGUGGAAUUCCGCGUGUAGUGGUGAAAUGCGUAGAUAUGCGGAGGAACACCAGUGGCGAAAGCGGCCUCCUGGCCCAUUUCUGACGCUCAGACACGAAAGCUAAGGUAGCAAACG
rnacentral:rRNA from 2 species